rnacentral:rRNA from 1 species
UACGGGGGGAGCAAGCGUUGUUCGGCUUUACUGGGCGUAAAUGGCGCGUAGGCGGCCACCGCAAGUCGGUUGUGAAAUCUCUGGGCUUAACCCAGAAAGGUCAACCGAUACUGCGGGGCUAGAGUGCAGAAGGGGCAACUGGAAUUCUCGGUGUAGCGGUGAAAUGCGUAGAUAUCUGGAGGAACACCGGGGGCGCAGGCGGCGUCCUGGACCAAUACUGACACUGAGUGAGCGAAAGCCAGGGGAGCAAACGGG